UCCUAGUUCGUUAAUCUGCAACAUGUAUACCACUAUUGAUUAUUAUAGCCCUAAAAAACAAAAAUAAAAUAAACAAACAUAUUAAUGUAUUUGUGUUCCUCCACCACCAAAACACCUUAACUUUACAACCAAACAUGCCGUUACCACAGAUCAACACCAUAAUCACAAGCCUUGGACACAAUUUUUGCAUUUGCGGUUAACUUAUCCACCGUUACAUCACAGUUAACUUUAAUGGUAAUUGUCCACGUCUUAACGGAUCCCACCUUAAUUUUUACCGGCGCCCUCAAUUUUAAAUUGAACGGCAGAUUUGCUUUGUUUACACCGUUAACCAAUGCCUUACGUGCCGCACUCGUUAACUCAAUCCCUGAUCCCUUCAACGCCAUCACAAAGACCGUCACAUUAUUGCUCGGCUGGUAAAAUACUGGCAGCUUACCGUUACAAAGCCUAACGUCAUUGUAAUACACAUUGACUGAACUUCCUGCCCGGUAAUCAAUUCCGAUCUUAUCGUUUGGGUUAUCGGCUUUAACAGUGACGUCAAACUCCGGCGAGAGUGGAUCCGAUGACGAAAGAUUGAAUCCUUUAAUGGAGACGGAAUCAACAGAGUACUUAGGAGCUUCUGGCCGAAAAACAAGGUAUAAGACACCAGCGGCUAUGCAAGCAAGUAGAAUGAGGGCAACAAGUAUGCCAAGGAACCAGCAGAAACAGCAGCAGCAGGCACUGCGGCGUGGCUUCUUGCCAGAGAGUUUCGCAUAGCGCUUGGCAUUUUCUGGAGGA
rnacentral:misc_RNA from 1 species